UGAUGCAGCCAUGCCGCGUGUGUGAAGAAGGCCUUCGGGUUGUAAAGCACUUUCAGUAGGGAGGAAGGUAGUGUAGUUAACACCUGCACUAUUUGACGUUACCUACAGAAGAAGCACCGGCUAACUCCGUGCCAGCAGCCGCGGUAAUACGGAGGGUGCGAGCGUUAAUCGGAAUUACUGGGCGUAAAGCGCAUGCAGGCGGCCUGUUAAGUCAGAUGUGAAAGCCCGGGGCUUAACCUCGGAAUUGCAUUUGAAACUGGCAGGCUAGAGUCUUGUAGAGGGGGUAGAAUUUCAGGUGUAGCGGUGAAAUGCGUAGAGAUCUGAAGGAAUACCAGUGGCGAAGGCGGCCCCCUGGACAAAGACUGACGCUCAGAUGCGAAAGCGUGGGGAGCAAACAGGAUUAGAUACCCUGGUAG
rnacentral:rRNA from 1 species